rnacentral:lncRNA from 1 species
GUGAGUCUGUAGACUUCCAAUUUAAUAUAUUCAUCAAAGCCUUGCAUAUUAUUAUCUUUUUGCCAGUCCCAACUGACAUAGGUUAUAUAUUUGUGUGUGCAUUCAGGCUGGGAAAAAGUAGAUGCCAUUAUGUGAAGUAACAUAACUUAUCAGAUGUGAAACCUAGAAACACACUUAGUUUCUCUAAGCCUCUGAAUUCUCAUUUGUAAAACAGGGAUCAUCAUAUUACACCAAACUGUUGUUAUAAUAAUUAACAGGUAAUGCAUGUUAAGCACAAAGUCUCAAACAUAGUAAUGAUUCACUGCUGUAUUAUUUUGAUUUUAUCAUCAUCAUUAUUAUUCAUAGUCUAAUACUUCAGACACUUUUGGCAAACUUGAUAUAAGAAGAAGCCAGAUUUAGGAAGGGGCCAGCCUUCACUGCAACUUUCCAAUCACUGAGGAAAGAAACAUUUGAUUAUUGGGCAUUAAAUAAGAAGCAAAUCACAUGGCUACUCUAUAGUUCCUCAGCUAUAAGGUCAAAGUUUAAAGUGGGGAGCACAUUCUGGCCUACGUUUUGGGAUGUAAAAAUCUCAAACGCAUUUGUUUUGCAGACAUACAAUCAGCACACACACAACAGUGUGUCAUGAAUCCUCUCUCAACUGACCAUCAGGCUGGAGGAAGUAACCUGCAGCAAGCCCACCUAAGAAAACCCUCUCUCAGGGGAUGAUGUCCAAAGACACUGCCAUUGAAGUCACCUAUCUCAUUUCAGUGCACUGAGGGAAUCCUGGUGUGGCAAAGGCCAUGUGCAGCUUUAACAGUCAGAUCACAGGAUGAAUACUGAAAUGGGUAGCAAAGAUGGGUAAAUCAGAUAUUUUAACCCAAAGGUAUCAUUAGCACUGACUAAUUGAUUAUAGUGCCCCAAUAAAUAAUAAAACUAAGAACAAAGAAAUAUGUAGUUCCCAGGACAUAGUAAGUACUUGGUUUCUAUGCCUUCCUCACACAUACAUUUUGCUCUAAGAUAUGUACAUGGUAUGUUAAACAGAAGCACUGCUAGGAGGACUGCUUUACUUUUAAGGUUGUUUGUUUUGUAUUACAAGCUGGGGUGGUUUCUAUAGCUCUUCCCUGUGCAUAAAGAUAUGGUUGUGACACACACUGCCCUCCCAAUCUUCAGUAGGUCCCAGAUAUCACCUUGUUAGAGGAUGGAUACAAACUUCUGUAUCAGCCUAGACAAUCAUGAUGACUGUCAAAAUUUUUGGAAAGCUGUGGGGAAAUUACUGAAUGUUUCCACCUAUACACAGGAAUUAUAAUUCAUAUCAAGAUAUUGAACCUAACUCUAGGGGACCAUUCCUUAAAGGCAAUGAGAUAUAGGCUGAAGUCAAUUCAUUGCCACACAUUUUUAGCGUUACUGAGCCUUUGUGAAGCACAAUCUGAGUUUAAUUCAGAUUCCCAUAGGUAUAAUUGUUUAAACUCAACAUGAGCAAAUCUAGAUGUAUUUGUUUCAAGUGUGUAUUUUCAAUCACCAAAUGAGCAUGAGUAACUUUUCCUCUUUAAUUUUCAAGAGAAGUAACACUCUUACCCAUUUCUUUUGGUUCUUCUCAUUUGCUUUCCAUCUUUUUAUGUUGAUAUGGGAAUUUUUUUGAGAAUAGUCAGCAAAUACUAUACAAGGAUCCCUUUUUGGAUUCAUUUUAAUAAAGCAUCUGACUCCCAUGCUUAAAACAAAACAGAACUCAAUAAACAGUGGACCAAACCACAUGCCUGUGUAAAAACCUGUUACAUAUACUUUACGAUAUAUAAAAAAUCCCAUGGUCUCAAAGUCCAUGUUUCUUUUUUACUCUGUCAAUCCCUGACUCUUGAAAAGAAACAUAAACAGACACACACACAUACUAAAAUAAAACAUCAAAAUGACCAAAGAACACAAAGUUUUCAAGUCACCAAUGCCCAAUUUCUCACAGUAAUAAAGUUUAUAAGAAGCACUUCUUCUCCUUUCCUCUCUCCUUAUCACUUGAGUAUACAUAGUUUCAAGGAAUUUAAGCAAGAUAAAAUUGUUCACCACAACAACUGCAGGUAUUUUCUAUACAGUUGACAUUAUGUAUGGAUAGCUAUUUCUGUGUAUAUACAUGUGUACAUGUAUUGAUUGAUACUAAAAUGUACUUAUUGAGCCCAUAAAACUCACUAUGUGACAGACUGUUGCAAGAGGAUGAAUACAGCAUCCACUAUUUUUGUCCUCAAAUAGAACAGAUUCAGUGGAAGAUGAGAGGAUGGAAAAGGUCAAACUUAAAAAAAAAAAUCUACAGUGCAGGGUCAUAUGAGCCAUAGAACUUAGAAUAAUAGAGUGCUCAUAGCGCAAUGGAAGGGCACAUAUCCAAACCUAGAGGGAGAAAAAAGAGCCUCCUACAAUAUGUGAUGUUAAAGUCGAGUCUUAAAGGAAUGUGUGGACGAUGUGUCCAUCUAGUCUUGAAGGGAAGUUUAUGUGUGCCUAGAUCUAUAUGUGAAUACACACACACGAGGACUUCAGCUAGACAGAAAACUUUAUCUCCAUAAUUUAACCCAUCCAUUAUGCGAUCAUGCAGGGCAGCUAAGUGUGUGCUUGUACAAGUGGGCUUGGUAAUAUAAACAACUUAAUUGAAAUGGCUGGUCCCAAGAAGCUCAUUGAGGAAGGAUGAUGCUUCCUGGUGGAGUUCAAGAUGGCAUAAAAUGUAUCAAUGUUAAAUCCUUGACAUAUGCAACUCUGUUCCCCUUGGUUUAUAGCUCUUUUAGGAGAUGCAAUACCCGUUAGCUUUUAUCAUUCCUCUGAAACUGCAUUAGAGAAAUUACAGGGUAUUAUCAAGAUAAGAAAAUAAUUGCAUUUUAAUUUGACAUGAGAGUUUCUUUAGAGAAUAAAGCGGAAAUUGGAUAAAGAAAGCAGAAUGAGAACAUAUCUACCUGCCUCCCAUACUAAAUUGUGAGAAAUGACAGAAAGGGUACUUCAGAAAAAUUUAAAUCUUUUAUAAAGGUGGUCAGUGGAAAACGAAUGCAAGAAUGCUAUUUGGAGGAAUUUCUAAAAGAUGGGAAGCCUAAUGAGUUAUACCUUUGAAUAAAAAGGACUGAAAAAGGUCUGAGCUGAAACCAUGGGCAGGAGGCCUAUGCAGAGAAGCAAGCUUGGUUCCAGGAAGUCACCAAGCACAGGAUGUGAGUGAAUUCAUGGGGCAAAGGAGAGGACUCUGGGAACCUUCUGAGUGGUUUCUUGUAGGCCAGCAUUCAGAGAAGAUGGACUUCCUGGACACUCCCACUUCUCCACUAGUGUUCAUCAGCAGGCCAUAGGGAACAGUGUGCUCCAGUGUUUGUUUUCAAAUUGGAGAGACAGCUCAUGGUCCCAUGGAGCUUCCUACAUUCACCAACAGCUAAAAUCUCCAAAGACAAGUCACUUUAAUCAGAACUAACAUCUAAAGAAUAGGCCAGGAAUACUAAAAUGCAAAUAUGAGAGCAAAGAGCUGGUAAUUACAAAACUCAGAAUGCCAACACUAUGAAAAAGGAGCAUAUAUGUUAAUAAAGGAAUACCAAGGGAAACCACUGAUAGAGUAAACAGAAUAAUUCAAAGUGAGCUUAUUGCAUAUUUGUAGAGAUAGUGGAAGAAUAUUGCAUCUCUGAAAAAAGAAACUGUAAGGAUCUUAUAAAAAUGGAACCACUGAAACAAAAAAUUAAACAGAUGGCUUAAUGGGAAAAAGAGCUGGAGAAAGAACUAAUGAGCUGGAACUCUGAUCCCAGUGAUCAGUGCUAAUUAUGAAGUAUAAAAGAAACAGAUAAAUGAGAAAUAUGACAUAAAAAAUGUAGAAACAUGGAAGGUAAAUUUUAAGGUUCCAUUAUGUGUACUAUGUACUCCCAAAGGAUAAAGCAGAAAGAACGGAUAGAGAAAAAUAUAAUGAAAUACAAAUUCUCUAUUGUUUAAAAGAUCAUGAGCAAAUGAAGAAAAAUAAAUGACUACUUCAAAAAAUUUGAGAAUAAGAAUGUGAUGAGUUUCAAGAAAAAUAUAUAGUGCAAUUUUCAAGUUGUGAGUACAAAUUUGUAUGAAAGUAGAAAAAAAAUAAUAAAGACAAACUAUGAAUCAGGUAGGAAGGCAAAAUUAAGGCAUAACAUUCCACACUUCAUAGUUUUACUAUCUGCAGAUUUUUCUAAAAAAAUUCUUUGAAUAUUUCUUAUUACCUAAAUUUUGCAUUUAUAAUUUAAUGAACACUUAUAAAAGAUUGAUGUAAUACUUUUAUUUUAAAAAACUACUAUUCAUAAAUUAGCAAAAAUUAUAAACUUGAAACUUUUAUACUUAUGAUAAAAAAUUAUACAUUAACUCUAAAAUAUGGGAGAGGCUAAAUAUUCUUUCAAAAUCUGUUGACCAACACAAGUGUUAGAAUAACAAUGCCUUAGAGCAAGUCUUAAGUAAAAUCAAAUCCUAUGUAUCUGAUAUACAUCCUUCUACUAACACAUAUUACCUCACCCCACUUUAGGACACACAAUGGGUAGUUUUUCCAUUAUUCACAGGGUAGUGCCUUGGAGGAUGGGAGUGGGAAUGAGUUUGAAAUCAACACUUAUUGGACAGGAAAGACAAAGUGGCUUAAACCCAUGGGUUCCAUGUUGUGAACUGAAAUGAGGAUAAAGCAGUAACUGCUAGUUUAGAAUAGUUACAGAGUAUUUAACAUAUGUCACCCUGGAGUUUGAUUUUCUUUGUCAGAAGCAUAAAAGUUGAAUAAAUUGAAAACCUGGUAAAGUCUUCGUAGCAAAUGCCAGGAAGCAAUACCAUCAUCAUUUUGGGGAGGUUGAAUGUGCUUGUGAUGUUGUUUUUAUGGUUAUUACGUAUAAGGCACUAGAGCUUUUGGCAAAUACAAGGCAAGUCCUGUGAGUUCCACAACCUGUUUUUCCACUUCUCCAGCCUCCGAAAAAAAUGUAUUCUGCAUGAUAAGGGUGGUGAAACUCUCUUUCCUCUUACAGAACUCAUACAGAUGGUCAUGUCCUUUUUUUGGGGGGAGGGGUGUAGUAAAAUUGUAAUUAAAAAUUUUUUAUUAUGAUUGAUUUACAAUAUUCUGUAAAUUUCUGCUGAAUAGCAAAGUGACCCAGUCAUAUAUAUAUAUGAUACACAUUAUAUAUACAUACAUUAUUUUUCUCACAUUAUCUUCUAUCAUGUUCUAUCACAAGUAACUAGAUAUAUAGUUCCCUGUGCUAUACAGAAGGAUCUCAUGCCCAUCCACUCCAAAUACAAUAGUUUUCAUCUACUAACCCCACACUCACAAUCCAUCCCACUCCCUCCCCCUAUCCCCAGCAAGCAGGAGUCAUAUCCCUCUUGAGGCUGAACUGGUAAUGCUAACACAUGGAGCCAGCACUCUUGGGUUUUAUAUACAUACUUUUCAGAAGCAAAACAGACUCUAAAUUUUAUUUUUACUAUAGUCCACAUAAGCUCAAAAUGAUCUGUUGUUCUUUAGUUCCUAAAAAUAAUCUCCAUGAUUUAGAUGUUAUAUGUUCAAAUGAUUAAGUCUAGAUUCCAAAUAAUGAAGACUCAAUAUUGUUAAGAAAUCAGUGCUCUCCAAUGUGAUUUAUAGAUUCAAUACAAUUUCAACAAAAAUCUCAGGAAAUUAUGAUUUGAAUGUCAAGAAAUUGAUUCUAAAGUUUACAUGGAAAGGCAAAAGACCUGAAAUAGACAGAAUAAUACUAAGAAGAACAAAGCUGGAGAACUGACACUACUACGCUUCAGUGCUGACUAUAAAGCUAUGGUAAUUAAGACAGUGUGGCAUUGGAAAAUAAGACAAAUAGAUCAAUGGAACAGAAUAGAAGAAUGAAAAGACAAUUCCCACAAUCUAGGAGAAAAUAUUCACAAAACACAUAUGUGAUAAAGGAUGUGCACCCAAAAUAUACAAACACCCCUUAAACACUCCUUAAUAUAUAUUCAAAUGAGUUGGAACCUUAUAUUUACACAAACCCCUGCAUAUUAAUAUAUAUAACAGCUUAUUGGUAGUUGCCAAAACUGGUAAGCAAACUAGAUGCCCUACAGUAAAUGAGGAGAUUAUCUUACAGUCCAUACAGGUGAUGAAAUACUGUUUAAUGAUGAAAAGAAAAGCCUUAUCAAACCGUGAAAAGACAUGAAGGAGACUUAGUUGCUAAGUAGAAGCUGCCAGUCUGAGAAGGCUACCUAUGAUGAACAUAAUUAAUUUUAUUUAAAAAGAAACAGAAUAACAUCAUUUUAAAAUGACAAACAUUCCUCUC